GAGAGUAUGAAUGUAAUAUUGUCUUUCAGAUUGGUUAUUGGAGUUGCUAGGUUGGUUAUUGUUGUUGUUGUUGUUGAUUUUGGACGAGUUAAAUUCUCGGGUUGGCCUAUUUACAGGGGAAAUGCUGCCGAAUUUUCUGCAGAAUUUAGAGUUAGUUUGGAAUAAAUCGCUUAAGUGCCUAUGUUUAAUAUUGGAUAUUCGUUGGCAUAUUUGUAGACCUUGGGGAGCCCGAGGCGUAGAUUGGGAUUUACGUUAGAUAGGCUAGCUUGGAGUGCGUACGAGGUACAGACGCACAGUUUGGUGAUCCACCAGUCUAGGACACCCUCUUCUGCCGUUUGGAGUGCUCUUCUCAUUUCAGAGCAUAUAUUUUGGUAUAUAUUCGUUCGCUGUGUAUGUAUAUAUUUGUUCAGGGGUACGGCGGGGCCCUGUCCAGUCAUAUGUUUCGGUUGGUCUGUUUAGAGGUCUGUAGACGUAUUUGUGGGUGUGUGUGCCUACUUCUGUUCAGAUGUGUUUGUAUGAUCCUAUUCGCUAUGGCAGUCUUGUUGGCGCGCAUUUUGUAUAUGUUUUGGGGUCGUUGUGCCAUUUGAUAGCCUUGUCGGCUUUUGAUAUAUAUAUAUACGUAUGCAUAUGGUCGUGUUGAAA